ACACUGAAUCCUCUCACAGCACAGAUCUGAUUAUCAGUAUAAUUCACUCUCCAGUUAUUGUUCUUAGUGAGAACAUCUGCAAAAUAAAAGUGUUAAAUAUUGUUUGAGGUUAAAGACUAAAACAAAAGGAUAACGAGUGUGUUACUGUUUUUAUUAUUCUAAAUUACGCCACUAGAAAAACACCGGUAUUAUAAAGAAAGUGUGAUUGUCUUUUAAAAUAAUAGAAAAUUCUCAUAAAACUUCUCCGUUUUCUCUCACAAUCACCUGAUGAGCGUAACAGUGAGACAUCAGGACACGGUGUCACAAGUGAGAAGAAUCACCACCAAGUGCAGCAUUUUUAUCUCUUCUGUUCAGCAGCAGCUUAGGAAGAAGCUGAAGAAGCAGCUCUGUGGAAAAAGGACAGUAAUAAAAAAUGAAGGAAACCAAAUGACACAAAAUCUGGUUUAGUAUUUACUAAGACAAAAAAAAAUAUCAAGUCUA